CCGAGUGAUUAUUUCUUCAUCGUAAACCGCCACGAAAAUUGAGAUAUAUCCGAAAACCGGCAUCUCAAAAUCGCCGAAACUGCCAUGAACUGUAUGGAAUAUACCCCCCUUUCACUUCACCCGGCCUGCGCAGAGUUAAACUUUUCUCCAGAUUUGGCCAGCCUGUUUCUCCUCCCCCAGUUUCGCCAAAGGUUUUGACCUAAAUCUAGUUGUCUUGUCUUGUUCCACUGUUUGGAACAAUGUUCCAAAUGUUAGUAUAUAUAAGUAAUCCGUGUAUAGUUUCAAUUGAAAUAUGUGUAAGAACCGAGUUGCAAAUUACACAUUCCUAAAUAUUAC